AGGCCGAUGCUUUACCACUAAGCCAUAAUUCAUUCUGUUCGUGUUCUGUCAUCCUGGCUAUACUGUCACGUUCGCUUAAGUCUGUCAAGACUUAUUUUCUUCCUGUGUUUCUCAGACUGUUCAGUCUUCAUCCACGUUCAACAUUCAGUUUCUUCUGUAUUCACUUAUACUAUCAAUGACUCAAGCUCAAACUUUCAACCAGAAUCCAGCAACGAUGGUGAGGCUGGUGCAUCAUCAAAUUUGCCAGUUACCAAUAUCGAUUUAACUGGAAAUAAGGAUUCACGCGAUUCUGAUUCGAGCUCCAAUGAUGAUUCAACUUAGGGGAGGGUGGGGUUAUUUGGACCGGUUUUGGUUUUUCUCGUGUAGGGCCUUUCCUAAUCAUCUGAUUUGUAAAAUAAAUGUUUAUUGUAUUUUUA